GUGAUUGGAUCGAUAUUCCUCAAAGAGGUCAAAGUCUUCCUUCGAUCAUCCCCUGCUGUUUGCCUUUGCUGCAAAGGUUCACAGCACAAGUGAAUAAAUGCUGCAUCCAGAGAAAUCUGUGAGGCUGUGAAGUCAAAAUAGAGCUUGGAGGCAAACAGGGAGGCAGUAACAAAAGAAGAAGGAGGAAAUCUUGAAAAGGAGAAAGGAGACAUUUAAAAGAUGAAGUGUGUUGUUUUGUUGCUGAGUCUGCUCUCGGUGGGACGCUCAGCUCCUGUGAGCAGCUGUGACACUCUGAUUAACCCAAUAACUGUCAGCACGGAAGAGAUAUUGGGAAAAUGGAUAUACGUUGGGGGAAGCUCUGACCUCCCGGGAAGCCGUUCCUUUGGCUUCCUGCUGACCAGCGUCUGGUUGAAUCUUACUACAACUGCCAACAGUAACGUCCUCAAUAUCCUGCAGACUCAGAGAAUAAAUGGUGACUGUUCGAGCAUGACGUAUAAUGUGAUCUUUGAAAACAGCGCAAUGUUAAUCAAGGAGCCUUUUUACCUAAAGGAUGUCUUCCUGCCAACUGGCUGCUCUGACUGUCUGCUUGCUUAUGAAGAAGUCAUCUCUGGGAAAGAUACUUUUACCAGCCUUCUUCUAUUCAGCAGGAAAACGAAUGUCUCUCCCGACGUUGUGGAGAGGUUAAAGAAACAAGCAGAAUGUCUCCAGAUGUCAUCACCCAUUAUGAUGGACCCAAACAACGAAAUCUGCCCCGACAACCUCCCUCCCUCAGACGGGCUCAGUGCCCUCAACAGCUUAUUUGAAAACAAGAUGGCACAUCGAGUUGCGAGAGUCCUGGAUGUUCUGUUUGAUGUGUUUGUGAACUGGUAGUUUAGUACUUUUAAUCUCUGCUAAAUGUCCCUUUAAAUGGGAGAGAUUGGCCAGUUUUUUGUUUUUUGCUUUUACUUUAAUUCACAUUAUUUCACAUCUGUAAAACAUAUUUAGACAAAUUUAUACAUGUUAGAACACAAAGCAGAAAACAAACUAUGUCAAAACAACCAUUAAAGGUGAGGAAAUUAUGAAAUUUUGUCAAAGUCUGUGUUUUAAUAGUUCAUUAUUUUCUUUGUUUUUCCUUUUCUUUCACUGUUCCCAUGUUAUUUUGGUUUUAUUUAUUUAUUUUUGCUUGUUUUUAUUUUUGGUCUCUCUUUUAGUUGCUGACAGUUCAUCAUAUGAAACCUAAGGUUUGCUAUGAUGUAAAGCUGUUACAAACCUUGAAAACCAUGUCACUUGACACUGGGAUUGAAAAGGAUCUGUAGGAAGUCUGUUACAUCAAUGUACCUCUUAGUAAACUCAGUACACAAUCUUGCAGUCCACAGUAAGUGGUUUUAAAAUCAAAGGUUUUAAUUUGAAAGCAACAGAAUUUUUCUGCCUGACGUGCAUGAAUGAGCAUAUAUGGAGAAAGGUAAACACAUAUCUAGUGAAGGAUCUGAAGUUUUGAACUGAAUCUUUGAAAACUGUAUAAAACUGACAACUCCAAACAGGACAGAAAUGUCUUAUAGGAUAAAAGUGAUCAGUUAAAAUAACUUUGUAUUAAUUUCUAGAUUUUUACUCCGUGCCAGCAAAAUACCAAAGAUCAUCUCACUCUAUAUGGGUCAUCCAGUCUGAAAUAGCAUAGACAUCCACUCGUAAGAGUAAUUAAGGACAUGAUUUUUCUAUAUAAACAGGUUUGUAUUUGUGCCAAAACAAAACUGUCCAUUGUAAUACUGAAUUAAAUUAAUGACUUCUUAAAAAUUAUGUGUGAAACUAUGGAAAAAGCACAACCAACCAAACAAACAAACAAACAAAAAUGCCUAAAUGUAGCUUCUGAUUUCUUCUGCUUUAUUUGGAUGAACGAUCACUUUUAUGUUGUUACUGUAUGUCUUUACUGGAACAAAAGACAAGUCCAGUUCAAUUACUGGAUGAGUAUCAUUAACGCUAAUAAUGAUAUCUAAGCAGCAUUUAAAAACUGCUACUUGGAGGAAUAAUUGGCAGCUGAAAUGAGCUUCCUACAAAUGGUGUCGGGUGGUCUCUCUUAGUGACAGAGUGAGGAGCAGGGCCAUUUGGG
ensembl:lncRNA